AGUGAUGACGUAACAGAAGAACCUGCUUCAAUAUGGGUAUAUGUGACGUCACAGAGAAAUCCGCCAUCGCGAGAAUUGCGUUCAAGAUGGAAAAAGACGAGAAAAAAAGCGCAAGACGAAGAACAAAGACGAAGACGCCAAUAUAAGGAUGCCGGUUUGAGGUGUUUGUAGGCUUAAGUGUGUAUAGGCCUACU